rnacentral:rRNA from 1 species
UGCAAGUCGAGGGGCAGCAUGAAAUUUAUUUAUUUAGAUUUUGAUGGCGACCGGCGGACGGGUGCGUAACACGUAUGUAACCUACCUUUUUCUAGAAAAUAGCCUGAGGAAACUCGGAUUAAUGUUCUAUAAUACAGUAUUUUCGCAUGAAAAUAUUAUUAAAGCAGAAAUGCGGAAAAAGAUGGGCAUGCGCCCGAUUAGUUAGUUGGUGGGGUAAAAGCCUACCAAGACGAUGAUCGGUAGGGGGCCUGAGAGGGUGAUCCCCCACACUGGUACUGAGAUACGGACCAGACUCCUACGGGAGGCAGCAGUGAGGAAUAUUGGUCAAUGGAGGAAACUCUGAACCAGCCACGCCGCGUGCAGGAAGAAUGCCUUAUGGGUUGUAAACUGCUUUUGUUUAGGAAUAAAAAUUUCUACGUGAUAGAAAUUCUGAAGGUACUAGACGAAUAAGUGUCGGCAAACUCCGUGCCAGCAGCCGCGGUAAUACGGAGGACACAAGCGUUAUCCGGAUUUAUUGGGUUUAAAGAGUGCGUAGGCGGUUUAUUAAGUCAGUAGUGAAAUGUUACAGCUUAACUGUUAAAAUGGCUAAUGAUACUGAUUAGACUUGAGUUAGAUUGGAGUAACUGGAAUGUGUGGUGUAGCGGUGAAAUGCAUAGAGAUCACACAGAACACCGAUCGCGAAAGCAGGUUACUAAAUUUAUACUGACGCUGAGGCACGAAAGCGUGGGGAGCAAACAGGAUUAGAUACCCUGGUAGUCCACGCCGUAAACGAUGAUCACUAGUCGUUGGAUUUUAUUAUUCAGUGGCUAAGCGAAAGUGAUAAGUGAUCCACCUGGGGAGUACGACCGCAAGGUUGAAACUCAAAGGAAUUGACGGGGGCCCGCACAAGCGGUGGAGCAUGUGGUUUAAUUCGAUGAUACGCGAGGAACCUUACCAAGGUUUAAAUGUACUACGAAUAAGCUAGAAAUAGUUUAGUCUUCGGACGGAGUACAAGAUGCUGCAUGGUUGUCGUCAGCUCGUGCCGUGAGGUGUUGGGUUAAGUCCCUCAACGAGCGCAACCCUCAUUGUUAGUUGCCAACGAAUAAUGUCGGGGACUCUAGCAAGACUGCCGACGUAAGUCGAGAGGAAGGUGGGGACGACGUCAAAUCAUCACGGCUCUUAUACCUUGGGCUACACACGUGCUACAAUGGUCGGUACAAAGGGUUGCUACUGAGCAAUCAAAGCUAAUCUCUAAAAACCGAUCUCAGUUCGGAUUGGAGUCUGCAACUCGAC